GUGGGGAAUAUUGGACAAUGGGCGCAAGCCUGAUCCAGCCAUGCCGCGUGAGUGAUGAAGGCCCUAGGGUUGUAAAGCUCUUUCACCGGUGAAGAUAAUGACGGUAACCGGAGAAGAAGCCCCGGCUAACUUCGUGCCAGCAGCCGCGGUAAUACGAAGGGGGCUAGCGUUGUUCGGAAUUACUGGGCGUAAAGCGCACGUAGGCGGGUAUUUAAGUAAGGGGUGAAAUCCCGGAGCUCAACUCCGGAACUGCCUUUGAUACUGGGUACCUAGAGUAUGGAAGAGGUAAGUGGAAUUCCGAGUGUAGAGGUGAAAUUCGUAGAUAUUCGGAGGAACACCAGUGGCGAAGGCGGCUUACUGGUCCAUUACUGACGCUGAGGUGCGAAAGCGUGGGGAGCAAACAGGAUUAGAUACCCCAGUAGUCC
rnacentral:rRNA from 1 species